CCUAGGGUGGCAGCAGUGAGGAAUAUUGGUCAAUGGGCGUAAGCCUGAACCAGCCAAGUCGCGUGAGGGGUGAAGGUUCUCUGGAUCGUUAACCUCUUUUAUACGGGGAUAAAGUGCGGGACGUGUUCCGUGUUGUAUGUACCUUAUGAAUAAAGAUCGGCUAAAUCCGGGCCAGCAGCGGCGGUAAUACGGAGGAUCCGAGCGUUCUCCGGAUUUAUGGGGGUUAAAGGGUGCGUAGGCGGCCUUUUAAGUCAGCGGUGAAAGUCUGUGGAUCAACCAUAGAAUCGCCGUUGAAACUGGCAGGCUUGAGUAUGUUUGAGGCAGGCGGAAUGCGUGGUGUAGCGGUGAAAUGCUUAGAUAUCACGCAGAACCCCGAUUGCGAAGGCAGCCUGCCAAGCCAUGACUGACGCUGAUGCACGAAAGCGUGGGGAUCGAACAGGAUUAGAUACCCGUGUAGUC
rnacentral:rRNA from 1 species